AGCUGGUGUGGAGACACACAUGUGCACGUGGCGAGUCGCAAAUCCACACACCUGUGCAUCUAUGACUCUGAGUGCCGCUUUGCCAUGGCCUUGACUGGCCUGUGGUGCUCGAGUAUUUUCACACACUCUUGAAUGUAACGGAAUGUCCUGUUGUGUGUAACGCACAAAUCUAAACAACUUUCAACAACGGAUCUCUUGGCUCUCGCAUCGAUGAAGAACGCAGCGAAAUGCGAUAAGUAAUGUGAAUUGCAGAAUUCAGUGAAUCAUCGAAUCUUUGAACGCACCUUGCACCCUUUGGUUAUUCCAAGGGGUACACCCGUUUGAGUGUCAUUGUAAUCUCACUACAACAGACUUUUAUGUCYUUUUGUAUGUGGACUUGGAUGCUGCCGUGGACAARACGGCUCGUCUGAAAUGCCUGAGUGUACCCUGCUUUUGCGGCGUAUUCGGUGUGAUACAUCUUCACCGGAGUUAUGAUCCCUUUUUGGGUCGCGUCAAUACGAGUAUGGCUCUAUGCUUUCCAACCGUCUUUAACAAAGACAAUCUCUGACAAUUUGACCUCAAAUCGGGUGGGACUACCCGCUGAACUUAAGCAUAUCAAUA
rnacentral:rRNA from 1 species